AUACCUUUCUCGGCCUUUUGGCUAAGAUCAAGUGUAGUAUCUGUUCUUAUCAGUUUAAUAUCUGAUAUGUGGAUCAUUGGUUCACACGAUAUUAAAUUUAUUUUUAAGGGAGGGGACCAAUUGCGGUAGCUUGCUACUGAGUUCUUCAAGCAUUGUCUUUGUUUGCACUACUGCAAAGACUGGUGCAUCCCAC
rnacentral:snRNA from 1 species